UACGUAGGGCGCAAGCGUUAUCCGGAAUUAUUGGGCGUAAAGAGCUCGUAGGCGGUUUGUCGCGUCUGCCGUGAAAGUCCGGGGCUCAACUCCGGAUUUGCGGUGGGUACGGGCAGACUAGAGUGAUGUAGGGGAGACUGGAAUUCCUGGUGUAGCGGUGAAAUGCGCAGAUAUCAGGAGGAACACCGGUGGCGAAGGCGGGUCUCUGGGCCGAUACUGACGCUGAGGAGCGAAAGCGUGGGGAGCGAACAGG
rnacentral:rRNA from 1 species